rnacentral:tRNA from 1 species
CACCAACCACGGGGCUCGAGCCCACGACCCUGAGAUUAAGAGUCUCAUGCUCUACAGACUGAGCUUGCCAGGC